rnacentral:tRNA from 1 species
GGAAAAAUUUCCAUUGGUAGGGUGAAUCAUUUGCUAUAUGAUGUCUUUUAGACUUGUAAGUUCGAAUCUUGCUUUUUCCG